rnacentral:lncRNA from 1 species
UCCUUCACCUUUCCCCUUCUUCCUCCUGCCUAUCUUUAUGUUGCUGAGUCACUGGCCCUUGCCCUUCUCUUUGUGAUUCUGCUCAGGGCCCCGGGUUUCCCAAUAGCAUCAGAAAUACUUGGCACCCACAGGGGAUGAUAGCAAACAGUUCCCGCCCCCUUCUAGCCCAACGAGGGCAGGGACUGGAAACACAAUGUCAAUUUUUGCUCACUUGUUUUCUGGGAAAGUUAAGGAUUCACGAAAGCAGGGCCUGAGCCGUGGGUGCCCUUUGGUUUCUCCCACUGCCGGAUGAGUGUCCUGGACUAGACAUAUUAAAUGCCAGUUUUUAAAAACUCAUGGGUCCCAGCUGUGUGACCUUGGGCAAGUCACUUGAACCCCACUGUCUAGCCCUGACCACUCUUCUGCCUUGGAACCAACACACAGCAUUGACUCCAAGACGAAAGGGAAAGAGAAUAUACAAAUCUAGCAAGAAAAUAAAGCCUGGAAUCAUGGGAAGGGGGGAAAAGUUGCCCUCUGGAACCUGA